AACGCUAGCUACAGGCUUAACACAUGCAAGUCGAGGGGCAGCAUGGUCUUAGCUUGCUAAGGCCGAUGGCGACCGGCGCACGGGUGGGUAACACGUAUCCAACCUGCCGUCUACUCUUGGACAGCCUUCUGAAAGGAAGAUUAAUACAAGAUGGCAUCAUGAGUCCGCAUGUUCACAUGAUUAAAGGUAUUCCGGUAGACGAUGGGGAUGCGUUCCAUUAGAUAGUAGGCGGGGUAACGGCCCACCUAGUCUUCGAUGGAUAGGGGUUCUGAGAGGAAGGUCCCCCACAUUGGAACUGAGACACGGUCCAAACUCCUACGGGAGGCAGCAGUGAGGAAUAUUGGUCAAUGGGCGAGAGCCUGAACCAGCCAAGUAGCGUGAAGGAUGACUGCCCUAUGGGUUGUAAACUUCUUUUAUAAAGGAAUAAAGUCGGGUAUGCAUACCCGUUUGCAUGUACUUUAUGAAUAAGGAUCGGCUAACUCCGUGCCAGCAGCCGCGGUAAUACGGAGGAUCCGAGCGUUAUCCGGAUUUAUUGGGUUUAAAGGGAGCGUAGAUGGAUGUUUAAGUCAGUUGUGAAAGUUUGCGGCUCAACCGUAAAAUUGCAGUUGAUACUGGAUAUCUUGAGUGCAGUUGAGGCAGGCGGAAUUCGUGGUGUAGCGGUGAAAUGCUUAGAUAUCACGAAGAACUCCGAUUGCGAAGGCAGCCUGCUAAGCUGCAACUGACAUUGAGGCUCGAAAGUGUGGGUAUCAAACAGGAUUAGAUACCCUGGUAGUCCACACGGUAAACGAUGAAUACUCGCUGUUUGCGAUAUACUGCAAGCGGCCAAGCGAAAGCGUUAAGUAUUCCACCUGGGGAGUACGCCGGCAACGGUGAAACUCAAAGGAAUUGACGGGGGCCCGCACAAGCGGAGGAACAUGUGGUUUAAUUCGAUGAUACGCGAGGAACCUUACCCGGGCUUAAAUUGCAGAUGAAUUACGGUGAAAGCCGUAAGCCGCAAGGCAUCUGUGAAGGUGCUGCAUGGUUGUCGUCAGCUCGUGCCGUGAGGUGUCGGCUUAAGUGCCAUAACGAGCGCAACCCUUGUUGUCAGUUACUAACAGGUUCCGCUGAGGACUCUGACAAGACUGCCAUCGUAAGAUGUGAGGAAGGUGGGGAUGACGUCAAAUCAGCACGGCCCUUACGUCCGGGGCUACACACGUGUUACAAUGGGGGGUACAGAGGGCCGCUACCACGCGAGUGGAUGCCAAUCCCCAAAACCUCUCUCAGUUCGGACUGGAGUCUGCAACCCGACUCCACGAAGCUGGAUUCGCUAGUAAUCGCGCAUCAGCCACGGCGCGGUGAAUACGUUCCCGGGCCUUGUACACACCGCCCGUCAAGCCAUGGGAGCCGGGGGUACCUGAAGUGCGUAACCGCGAGGAGCGCCCUAGGGUAAAACUGGUGACUGGGGCU
rnacentral:rRNA from 1 species